rnacentral:misc_RNA from 1 species
AAGGGAGACCUAACCUAUUCGAUUCCGAAAGCACAUAGCGAUUAAGAACGAGUAAGGUCAUCUCAAAGGUCGUGCGAGGGGGGUAAACGGGAGUUACUUUUAAAUUUAGGUUCGUGGAAUGGGCUAUUAGCUCAGGUGGUUAGAGCGCACCCCUGAUAAGGGUGAGGUCCCUGGUUCAAGUCCAGGAUGGCCCACUUAUCACGAUGUCAUCAGCUACGCUGGGAUUAAGUUGAUAAAGAUGGGGGUAUAGCUCAGCUGGUAGAGCGCCUGCUUUGCAAGCAGGAUGUCAGCGGUUCGAGUCCGCUUAUCUCCACCAAAACCACAUUAACAGCUAGAUUGAAUUAGCAUCUGCAUUGCUAGAUAAGAAAUAUAUCUAUUGUCUAUUGAUGUUGAAUGCUGAAAGAGAUUCCAGCAAAGCACCUUGAAAACUGUACAAAAGAAUAAAGAUUAGUCGAAAAUACUAAUAGCUAGGUAGGAAAGUAUAAAAGCAAUCCAAAAAUAGCCAAAAAGAGUCUGACCUAGAUUGAGAAAGAAA